UUUUUUUUCCAGAGUCUUGCUCUGUGGCACAGGUUGGAGUACAGUGGUGCACUCUCAGCUCACUGCAACCUACACCUCCUGGGUUCAAGCGAUUCUCCUGCCACAGCCUCCCAAGUAGCUGGGAUUACAGAUGCCAACCACCAUGCCUGGCUAAUUUUUGUAUUGUUAGUAGAGAUGGGGGUCUCACUAUGUUGGCCAGGCUGGUCUCGAACGCCUGACCUCAAAUAAUCCGCUCGCCACAGCCUCCGAAAAUGCUGGGAUUACAGGCACGAGCCACUGCGCCCGGCCUGCAAUGCCUUUCUUGAUCAUGGAGUUGUCAGGCCAGGCUUAGGAUAGGAGUCUUGGCAGCCCAGGGGCACCCGAAAGCAGCACCAUGCAGGGCCAACGACCAUCCCAGUGGGGGUCAGGGCGUGAGCUGGCCUGAGAGGCAGCUCUGCCCCGUGGGAGGCCAUUGAGGACAGGAGCUGGGAGAGGAGUGAGUAGGCCCAGCCUUGUGUCUUGGCCCUGCCCCAUAAGCCAGAGACUGGUGGAAGUAGGCUAAGGAGGAUGAGGGGAAGUCCCCAGGGAAAGGGACCUUUAUACGAUCCCCUCCAAUGAGCCCCUGCUGGGCCCCAUAGAUGAACCCCUGGGCUGAGGCCUGGCGUGCGUCUGGCUCAAAGCAGAGUGUCCCCAAAGCCAGCUGACUCUCAGAACUCUGCAGCUGUAACCAGGCCCCACUCACACAGUAUGACCUGUGCUCACACACCUGUGCUAGGACGAAAGCACUUUCCACUCCUGCCGGCUGGCACACAGGAGGCCCAGACUCACCUGUCCUGAUGCCCGCGCCCAAGCACACUGCUCACAUGCCCAUGCACACUGCCAGCCUAUUCACCCUGGGUACUGCCACCUACAUUUGUCAACCCUUCCAGGGUCUGGGCCAGAGGAAGAAUUGAUUCCAGCACCUUCUCACCCCUGACUAAGGCUUAGAGCUCAGGCCCUGCACUUAUCCCACACCCCAAGAAGGAAUGUCCCUGGGCGGGACCCCCACCUCAGAGCCUGCAGGCCGGCUCCCACUCCUGCAGCCCUCAGCCCUGCUUCCAGGUGGGCCUGUCCACGUCCCCCUCUGUCCUUAACUCCAGGAGACCUUGGCUCACGUGGACAGCAAUGGAGUUGGGGGAAGGGCCCUGAAGGCAGCCCCAGGCCUGACUGUGGGCCUCCAGCUACAGGCGUUUGUGUUUGGGCACCAGCUACCCCACAUCCCAGCCGGUCAUCUCUGGGCAUAAACCCCCACCCCCCAGAAAGGAGGCUUCCUGUCCCUCUUGGGCACCAGCUCAGCCAAAAGCCAGAAAGCUGCUCUGGAGCAUAACCUGACCCCCCCACGGCGAGGCAGGGCAGUCUUCUCCUGGCUGGCACUGCUCUGGUCAUAGAAUUGAUCCUUCAUCCACCUUUACCCCAAACAAGAGGUGUCUCCCUGGGUGAGGACAAAGUGGGGAGGGCAACAGGGCUGGGGCUUAGAGCCCCUCCACCAGCCAUCCAGGGCUGCCUUCUCAGCUCCUCCCAGCGCAGCACCGGUGCCACUUUAGUAUUUAGUAGGCCACCCCCGGGACCUCCAUCACCACAGUGCAGAACUGGAAGCCACAAUGCUUUGAAUAGUCGACGCCUGUGCCUCCUGGGAGGUCUCUGGGCAGCCCUGUGGAGAGUGAGUGAGAGGAGAGUGUGUUCUUACAUGCACGUGUUCAGGCUGAUGGCAUGGGACUGUGACCCGUCCAGUCACACAGGGUCUCAAACUCCAAGGAGCCCCACACCUGGUUUAAUGCUCUGCUGUUGCCCUCUUGCUGAUGCCCUUCUUAUUUUUUUAGAGACAGGGUCUUGCUCUGUCGCCCAGGCUGGAGUGCAGUGGCACAAUCAUCAUUCACUGUAGCCUCGAACUCCUGGGCUCAAGUGAUCCUCCCCGUUUCUCCCCAGCCCCGGAAGUAGCUCCCACCAUACCCAGCUAAUUUUAAAACUUUUUGAGAGACCAAGCUGGUCUCAAAUUCCUGGGCUCCACUGGGUGCAGUGGCUCAUGCCUGUAAUCCCAGCACUUUAGGAGGCCAAGGUGGGCAGAUCACCUGAGGUCAGGAGUUCGAGACCAGCCUGGCAAACAUGGUGAAACCCCGUCUCUACUAAAAAUACAAAAAUUAGCUGGGUGUGGUGGCAAGCGCCUGUAAUCCCAGCUACUCAGGAGGCUGAGGCACGAGAAUCGCUUAAACCCAGGAGGCGGAGGUUGCAGUGAGCCAAGAUUACACUACUGCACUCCAGCCUGGGCAACAGAGUGAGACUCUAUCUCAAAAACAAAACAAAACAAACAACAAAAAAUGGGCUGGAGGAGCGGGUUGUAGGCCCUUCCGCCUCUGGUGGGUGGGGAGAAGCAGGGGAGCUGGUGUUCAGCUAUAUUCUACAAAGAAGGGGUGGAUCCUGAGAGGCAAGGGUGGGACUGAGGCCUAGUUACAGGUGGUCGGGAAGGAGGUUGAAGGGGAACUGUGUGACCUUGGAUGUUCUUUGUAAUUAUCUUAUGCUUAGCUGACACAUCUGUAAAAUGGAGAUAGCAGCACCCACUUCUUUGAGUUGUGAGAAGUAAAUGCAUGUGAAAUGUUUAGCGUGUGCCGGGCACCAAGUUAAGAGCCCAGUAAAUGUUGGCUGUUAU
ensembl:lncRNA novel transcript